GCACUAGUAGCUCAACUCAGAGCGCCGGUCUUGUAAACCGGAGGCCGGGGGUUAAAAUCCCCCCUACUGCU
rnacentral:tRNA from 1 species